GAUAGAUAGAUAGAUAGAUAGAUAGAUAGAUAGAUAAAUAUUUUUCUGAAGAUCUAUCAAAAUGUAUCUUUAAAAAAAUAAAUCAAAUGCAUAAAGUGCUUCAAAAUAUUGUACAUGAAUAUUUCGUAUCAUAAUAAUUCUUGCUUCUACAACAUGGUUAUGUUCAUUUAGAUAGAUCUGUGACGAAAUUGGUGCCCCUCAGAUCAUAUCUGUGACUUCUCAGACCAACAAGUGGCUUUAGGAAUGGUGCAUUCAAGCAGCAGAAGCGACGCUCUGAUGGCUGAAUAACGCAUCACUCCGCCAUUGACAGGAACGAAUCUGCAAUUAGGCUGCAGAGAAACCGAGGCAGGAGAGAUGCCUGCACAAAGCCUCAAUCACCAUACCAAUAGCUCCGUACCUGCAUCAGAACCAGCCCCCCCGCCCUUCACGAGCGCGUCAAUGGCUCAGACGAUGCUCCAAAUUACGCAGCUGCUCUCCAUCGGUACCUACCUGGAAGUCGAACCGCGGCGGCUCAUGAUAAUUACUCCAAUCCGAUCAACAGAUGACACCUCCGGCUGCAGGGUCUGCGAUCGAGCCUCAGUGUCACUCCGACGGUGGGAGCAUCUUCCAGGCUGCAGGCUCACAUCUCCGGCUCAGACGCACCAUUUGUUGCUCGGUAUAUGGGUUAUCGGCUGAAGGCUGUCCAAGUGUCUCACGAUGGCAGGCGUCAUCGAUGCAAGGCGGUGUCGUAACUUCUCUCCCCCCCUUUCCUCGUCCUCCUCCUCCUCCUUAUCUUCCACCUCCUCCAAACGAGUUCAAGGAGAUCCAGCAGCCAAGCUACCGGUUUGGUCCAGGAUAACAGCAGUUGUUAUUUACCUGAUGAUGGGAGCAUCCGCAGUACUGUGGUGAGAGGAGGCGAAGAGGUUGUGUUCAUGGAAAUUUACUGCAUCCUGUCAUUGACAAACCAUCCAGAAGUGGUUGCCACAGAAACAGUUUCCAUGCUGAUGUGUUCAAGAUGAAAAAAAAA